ensembl:lncRNA
GUAGAUCAAUUUGGGUGUUCAUUGCUACAGAGGAGGCAGGUGCUAAGUUGGAAGACAUUCUCUAUGCUCAUGAACGCAAGAAGACAACCAGAUCUGAAAUUACUUACUCCAAGAUGAGGAGCUUGCUUUGAAGAGGACUCCUUUUCUAUUGACCCAGCUCUGAUUUUGUCACACAGUAAAAAUCCAGAGACAAUUCAACAAGUUUACCGAUGUAAGAUGUGUGAGCAGUGCCUGAAGCUUUUUUCAUGUAAAAUUAAUUGAAAGAAGAUCUACUGAUGAAAAAACACCAUCAUUAUUUCCUCGUAAAAAAACUGCAAACCACUCUACAGCAACCGAUUACAUCAUAAUUAUCCUGUGCUUAAUAAAUCAUCCUUUCAUCUUCCCCUCCAACGUGGCACCAGCAUGUACUGCAGCAAAUUAUAGGAUGUGUGAAUACAGAUGAAAACCUGAGUACAAAUGAAGGAUGAUGCUUGAGGUUCAAACUUACUUGUAAAUUACAUCACAGCCAUUAUUAUAACCAGCCAUUUUUUAGUGUCUUUUCUUCCUCUCAUACUCCUUGUGUUUGUCCCACAUAAGUCAUUUCAUAUCCAGCCCAGGCAAGUCACUGAUUUUGACCAAGUCCCACAUCAUGGCAGAAGGACUGAUGUCUUCUUUGGAUAAAAGAAUCACUUAUCACUAGACUCUUCUUUGUACAAGUAGGUACACAUUCUUAUAACACCUCUUGAGGGAAUCUCCUAACCAGCUUUUCUCUACUUCCUUCACAACCUCACAGCAGUUUACCACUCAGGUUUCAGGAGAGUUGAUACGGUAGAAAUUUAAAAAACCCUGCUCUAUGAUAAUGUUUGCAAAUGCUUGUUUUCCUUUCCGAUAUUAUUUAUAUGUUCAUAUAUUGAUCAUACAUACAGUCACAAAAUUCACAAACCUGGAGUAACCAUUGGUGUCAGUGCCUUGACCUACUAGAUAAUUUAUUUUAGAAUUUUUGUGAGUAUUCAAAGACAAUCACUGCAGGUAUCACCUAUAUCCAGUGAAAAUUUGCUUGUUUGGAGGAAUUUUACUGCUCAGUGCUGGGGUAAUGUGAUCUUACGGAUCAUAAUUGCUAGAAUGUUAAAGCUGACUACUAGAGGCUGUGCAGUCAUAGAGAUGUGUAGUUUUAAUUUACAGCAGGAGAAUGAUUUGCAUGUUCCCAUCUGUGUUAUAAAAUGUAAGAGAAUAGAAGAACUAAACUAACUUACAAGUGCAAACAAAAAUGACAGUACUUAACCAUCCUUUCAAAGCAGAAUGCAGUCAAUAAAAUCAAAACUUUUACUUUACAAAAUUAACAACAAAGAUGUGUUUUCCCUACAGUGCAUGGGUGGGGGAACUAAUCACUAAAUAGAUCGGAAUAUUUAACCUGUAAGUGUAUUACAGGCAUACAAGAUAUGGUCCAAAUGCACAUUUCUUGACUCAGCUAUUUGUUGAGGCAAUGAACUCACUGUUUGUUUUAUAAGGAAGACAUCUGAGCAGGACAAUGUAAAGUAAAAUGUUUUGUUUUAUGAACAAUCAUUGCUUCUCAUAGAUGUACUGAUUAAGUUAUUAGGCAGAUUUCUUUUUCUUUUUUCUUGUAAGGAGUCAACAUUCUGCUCUUUUGAAAGACACUGACAAGAUAAUUGUAAAUCCUAAGCCUGCAAUAAAAAGCUGAAUUUGAAUCCAGU